CUAAGUAAUAUAACUUUAACUUAAUAGAGAAAAGCAUUAUGGAGCAUUGUGAAAAUAACACAAUAAUCAAUUGAACUGACACAUUUUGUAGACUACAUUGUCCCAAAA